AGAAGAGCAGAGAGCAAAGCCUUACAUGGCUGCAAGUGCCUUACCUCUGAUAGCCAAGGAUGACUUGCCUAUGUCUUCUUCCUCCCCCAGAGGCCUAAUUAGCCUUGGAGGUGUGGGGUUUCAUGGGCAGUCACCUUGGCUAGACCGAGUGGCUCUUGCUGCUCAUGCUAGGCUGAAAUUGCUUCUCUUGAUUUGUUGCAUGUGCUAGCUUAUUACUCAGCAAGUAUGGAGAGGAUAGAGGAAAGCUGUCGAACCAGAAGUCCAGAACAUGAGCUGAUAAUGGCAUGUCAGAAGUUGGAACAAGAUGGCGUUCUUCAUCUGGGAUACAAAUUUAUGGGCCUUAGAUUCUCCUUUUUGUGCAUUGAUACACAUGUAGAUCUAGCCGACAAGGACCUUGCUGUAAAUUUGCAAUCUUUGGAAACGAAUUUGUUGACCCA